rnacentral:rRNA from 1 species
UACGUAGGGUGCAAGCGUUGUCCGGAAUUAUUGGGCGUAAAGAGCUCGUAGGCGGUCUGUCGCGUCGGAUGUGAAAAUCCAGGGCUCAACCCUGGACCUGCAUUCGAUACGGGCAGACUAGAGUUCGGCAGGGGAGACUGGAAUUCCUGGUGUAGCGGUGAAAUGCGCAGAUAUCAGGAGGAACACCGAUGGCGAAGGCAGGUCUCUGGGCCGAUACUGACGCUGAGGAGCGAAAGCGUGGGGAGCGAACAGG